UUUUUUUUUUCCCAGAGCAUCACAGAAUAUUCAGGGUUGGAAGGGACCUCUGGAAACCAUCCAGUGCAGCCAGGGUCACCUGGAGCAGAUUUCAGAAGCCAGAGUGAAGGACUUGCCAUAAAGAGGACUCUGGAAAACUCUGUGCCAGAGCUGAUACCAGCCAGGAAGUUGAAAAUACGAAGGAAAUCCAUCGAAAGAAAUGAAAAUAUUUUUGUUUCGUUUCGUUUCUGGCGUUCACACAACGCACCAUAAUAGAAAGAGGAAUAUUUCCUUUAAUUUGAAUGUCAUCUGAAUGACUCAACCACAUUGUCACCCACUUAAGCAAAAGAAAGCAUAAUAAAUAAAUAAAUAAAUAGACAAGAAUAUGCAACACU